rnacentral:rRNA from 1 species
CUACGGGAGGCUGCAGUGGGGAAUAUUGCACAAUGGGCGCAAGCCUGAUGCAGCCAUGCCGCGUGUGUGAAGAAGGCCUUCGGGUUGUAAAGCACUUUCAGCGGGGAGGAAGGCGGUGAGGUUAAUAACCUCAUCGAUUGACGUUACCCGCAGAAGAUGCACCGGCUAACUCCGUGCCAGCAGCCGCGGUAAUACGGAGGGUGCAAGCGUUAAUCGGAAUUACUGGGCGUAAAGCGCACGCAGGCGGUCUGUCAAGUCGGAUGUGAAAUCCCCGGGCUCAACCUGGGAACUGCAUUCGAAACUGGCAGGCUAGAGUCUUGUAGAGGGGGGUAGAAUUCCAGGUGUAGCGGUGAAAUGCGUAGAGAUCUGGAGGAAUACCGGUGGCGAAGGCGGCCCCCUGGACAAAGACUGACGCUCAGGUGCGAAAGCGUGGGGAGCAAACAGGAUUAGAUACCCGGGUAGUC